rnacentral:rRNA from 1 species
CCUACGGGGGGCAGCAGUGGGGAAUAGUGGGCAAUGGAGGCAACUCUGACCCAGCAACGCCGCGUGAAUGAUGAAGGUCUUCGGAUUGUAAAGUUCUGAGAUGGGGGAGGAACACAAUGACGGUACCCCAAUAGCAAGCCACGGCUCACUCCGAGCCAGCAGCCGCGGGAAGACGGAGGUGGCAAGCGUUAUCCGGAAUGACGUGGCGUAAAGGGUGCGUAGGUGGUUUAGUAAGGUGGCGGUGUAAUUCCGGGGCUCAACCUCGGCGCUACCGCCAAAACUAUGAGACUAGAGUGCCGGAGUGGUAAGUGGAAUUCCUCUUGUAGCGGUGGCAUGCGUAGCUAUUAGGAGGAACCUCAGGUGCGCAGGCGACUUACUGGACUGUACCUGCCACUGCGGCACGAAAGCGUGUGGAGCACCCAGGAUUAGCUACCCUUGUAGUC